rnacentral:rRNA from 1 species
UACGUAGGGUGCAAGCGUUGUCCGGAAUUAUUGGGCGUAAAGGGCUCGUAGGCGGUUUGUCGCGUCGGGAGUGAAAACCUCGGGCUUAACUCGGGGCUUGCUUUCGAUACGGGCAGACUAGAGGUAUGCAGGGGAGAACGGAAUUCCUGGUGUAGCGGUGAAAUGCGCAGAUAUCAGGAAGAACACCAAUGGCGAAAGCAGCUUUCUGGGACGGUACUGACGCUGAGACGCGAAAGCGUGGGGAGCGAACAGG